rnacentral:rRNA from 1 species
UACGUAGGGUGCAAGCGUUGUCCGGAUUUAUUGGGCGUAAAGGGCGCGUAGGCGGGAUGGCAAGUCGGUCGUGAAAUCCCUCGGCUCAACCGAGGAACGUCGAUCGAUACUGCUGUUCUUGAGGAUUGCAGAGGAGACUGGAAUUCCCGGUGUAGCGGUGAAAUGUGUAGAGAUCGGGAGGAACACCGGUGGCGAAGGCGGGUCUCUGGGCAAUUCCUGACGCUGAGGCGCGAAAGCGUGGGGAGCAAACGGG